UGUAAAAGAGAAAAAAAAAAUGUCACCCGCCUCCCUACUCCCUAGUCGCCAGCCACCGCCACCGGCCAUUCCUCUCCUGCGUCUCCGCCGUCGCGCACGCCCCCCUCUUCGCGUCGCCUUCCAUGGUGGCGCAACCCGCCGCCGCGUCCCCUGCGUAUCCACCGGAGGCCCCCUCUUCUUGUCGCUUUCCAUGGCGGCGGCCGCUUCCUUCCCUGCGUCUCCGCCGGCGCGCACGGCCCCCUCUUCUCGUCGCGUUGGCGGCGCAGCUCUCGACAUCCUCCCUACGCAGCACGUCGUACCUGUCCUUCCUCCAGCGCUCGGUCCGGUGAGAUGGACCCCUCGCCGGAGGAUUCGUUCGCCUUCAAUAUGUUUUUGCUCGUGUCGCCGAUCUGCUGCUGCGCAUCGGCCGCCACCGCCAGGCAGCCGCAUGCUCCUCCGGGCCUUGGCCCAGCUCGCCUGCGUCUACCUGUUUGUCUGGCCAGCACGACCUUUUUCCGUGUCUCUUACGUCCGCCUCCUGACUUUGCGCCUUCCACCUGUUCGGUAAAAUGCAUGCUUGGACAGCUUGGUACUCCUCUACUUUGGCAUGGUCCACACCGCUGUCACACGCUGGUGUACAUCGUGGCCGGGCAAUUGUCAGAGUGUUGGGAUCGAGCAGACCGCGGAAUCUCUCUUCAGGCCUCCUAUUGUUGACGACAAGGAAGACAUAGGUUACUGGAGAGGUGCUCUUGUGUCUCUGGAGACUUGUAUCUGCGCUGUCCUCAUAUCCUUUGUUGCAUGGUAUGUGCUUGUGGUGCUGCUUUUGUUCUCCCUGGCCAAAUCCCUUGCUGGUGGAUGGAUAGUGAUGGGUGGUUCUUGAGGUACUUCAUUACCGUGUGUGGACGCUAUCUGCAAAUCAUGUCGAGCAUCCUGGCAUGACGAAUUGGCGACGACGACUCUGACGACCGAGGCUGAAGUCUACGAUCUGUACAUAAAUCUAUUACCUACUUGCAUCUUGUCGGCUGAAUUGCUUCCUGAUUGAGUCGAGUGAUGGCUAUUAAACCUGAAGAUGCUCCCAAGAAGGUUCACCAGAAACGGUCCGUUCUACGUAUGUUACACUACUCUUGGACAGUUGGACUGUGUGAAGAAAAAGAAACAAUCGAAUCGAAUCUUCAACUCUUAAGGCAAUUUCUGUCCUUGAUUGCCCAACUCCACGACCGAAGAACUCACCUUCUGGUUGUAUCCGAGGGCGCCGCCCCGAAUGUAUCCUUCUUCUUUUUUUGCAAGGAAGCCCCGAAUGUAUCCGUUUCAGGGCAAUGCUUGUCAAUUAGCUAAUCUUUUAGGGGUUGGUUCUUUCGGUUCUUUGCCGGGUAUGAUUCUCCCGUGGAUGGACUCCGGCUAAUUGUAUGAACACUUGCCUUUUUGCUGCGUCACAAACGGCCGGACGAUACACCAACUUUUGUGUAUUCUAAAAAAAAAAAAGAGGCAAUGGCCUGUUUUGACC